UGUAGUCUCGCACAGAUGCAUAUCAAUAAGCGGAGGAAAAGAAACUAACAAGGAUUCCCUCAGUAACGGCGAGUGAAGCGGGAAGAGCUCAAAUUUGAAAUCUUCAAGGUUUUACCUUGACGAAUUGUAGUUUAAAGAAGUGUUUUCUGUUGAAGUUUUGGUAAAAGUUCUUUGGAAUAGGACAUCAUAGAGGGUGAGAAUCCCGUAUUUGACCAUUAUUUUCAGCUGUGUGAUACACUUUCAAAGAGUCGGAUUGUUUGGGAAUGCAGUCCAAAAUGGGUGGUAAAUUUCAUCUAAAGCUAAAUAUUGGCGAGAGACCGAUAGCGAACAAGUACCGUGAGGGAAAGAUGAAAAGAACUUUGAAAAGAGAGUUAAACAGUACGUGAAAUUGUCAAAAGGGAAGCGUUUGACACCAGUGUUGUUUUCUCGAAAAUCAAUUAAAAAGAGUUUGAUUUUGUUGUGUAUUGACCUUAACAGCUUGCAUUUCAAUUUUCUUGCUUUUUUUAAUGCACUUUUCGUUUAACAAGUCAACAUCAGUUUCUUUUGUUGUAAAAAGGUCAUUGGAAGGUGGCUUUCUUUUCGGAGAAAGUGUUUAUAGCCCUUGACUCCUGCAAUCGGAGAGACUGAGGUCUGCAGCGUAGAUCCUUCGGGGUUAGAUACAUUUGUGCUAAGUUAUAGCUUUUUAUAGACAACUUGUUGACUAUGAUUAGUCUUGUAGCUUACUCGCUUAUGCUAUUUUACCUACGCUUAGGAUGUUGAGCGCAUGUCUCUCUCU
rnacentral:rRNA from 1 species